GGGCCGGGCGGGGGGCGCGGAGGCCGCAGUCGCACUGCCCCCCGCGGCGGGGCGGGCCGGAGCAGGGCUCUUCUCGCCUCCCCUCCGCCGCCGGCUUUCCCGGGAUCCCGUGCCCUCCGAGUUGCCCCCCUGGCUGGGGCCGGGUCGAUGUGCUGUGCCCUUUUGCAGAGUGGACGGCACGGUGCGGCUUCCCUUUGGCAAACGUGCUCCCGCAUCCCUGCUCUAAAUGGAGAUGGGGAGGCGGGAGUGGGGUCUACAGCCUGACCGGUGCGAGGACUUCAGCCUAGAUGCUCCUCUGCCUUCUGCCCCUGAGCGGGGCAGUCCGGGACAAGCCCCUCCGGCGGGAGACGGGGCGCGGCAAAGCAGCGGUCCCGCCGGGGCCGGUGGUGGGGGCGCGGGGCCGGGCCGAGCCGCUGUGCCCUGGGGCGCCCGCAGCCGCCGCCGGGAGCCCGUCAGAGAGCACAGCGGGGACACAGCCGCUGCUGAACGGAGGGGUAUCGCGUUUCCUCUCUGCGGCGGGAACCGCUGUUUUGGGGGAAGGGGGGGACUGCAAUGGGGAGCGUGAGGCUGAUGCAGGGGGAAAGCGGUGACUUCGCCCUUUCUCUCUCCGCUCCUUAUCUCCGCGGCUAUCGCCGGGAGUAGAGAGAACGGCAGAUAAAGCGGUGCUGUUGGCAUCGGGACCCCGAGAGCUGCUAGCAGCGGCUGCUGCGUAACCCCGUUCCUCGGUCUCUCCCAUCGCUGCCCCGCUCGGAGCUGUGAAAUAUCCGUACCAUAAAAUGUAGGGGAUUUAAAGGGCGGUGGGAAUGUCUCUUUGAAAAGGGCUCUGGGAAAAGUCUUUCUAAUCCAGGAUACUUGAGCCGGAUGGGAUGGGAUUGCCGGAGAGGCAUAACAUAAAAGUAACGCGGCGGGCGAGUUGCGGGGCUGCGCGGGCACGGGGAGAGCGCGUUCCCCUCGGGUCGAGUUCGGGUUCGGGUUUGUUGGGGAUGGAGCCUUCCCGCGUGCCGGUGCGCAUGGGGACAGUUCCGAUAUUACUGAAAUGUGUGGAAGGAGCUCGUUCCAGAGCAAGGCUCUGGCGUGCAGUGCCGUGUUUAUGUCGCUCAUCCCGAGGAGAUAUCGGUGGCAAAAUUCAGGCCGACAUCAGCCCGGCCGAGCGGGGCCGCGCAGCUGCGGGGCGGUGGGAGCGGGAGCGGGGCCGGGAGGGCCGCAGCGCCGGAACUGGGAGCGGUGGGCCGGAACGGCUCCUGGGGGGCUCCGUGCGCCCCUCCGAGGUCUUGAGUCUGUGGAAUGGAUAGGGAGGCAAACGGUCCUCAUCGGCUCUGGAAACCUGAGAUUACUCAGCCCUCCAUUUGACCAAACUGCAUUUAGUUCAGUAGAUCUGGGACUGUAAGAUCAGCCCGGAGCUGUUUUUAAACCGAAGCUAAUAAAUAAAUAAAUAAAUAAAUAAAUAAAAAGAGCCUGUUCAUCAAAGACGAAUGGUGUGUGGCAUUUCACUGCUGCAGCUCCUGCCCAGGGGUUUCUCUGUGCAACUUCCUGUAGACAGAAAAUUUUCACUCUCAGAAUAGUAAAUAAAUUGGGGAAGGGGGAGGUAAACUCAUGCUGCUCUCUCUAUAUCCGAACUAAGACUUUAAGGUAAUAUUAUUUAAUAAAGAGCUGAUAAGAUGCUUACAGUGGCACUCUGGUCACACAAGUAGCCACUCUGGUCACACAAGUAGCCGUGUGAACAGGACAGCUGAAUGCUACCCCCUUUGUUGUUCUUCUCUAGACUGGAAAUAGUUUGUGUAAGUGAACAAAAGGGUCAUUACUUUGCCUUCCCAACUUGGGAAGCCUAGUAGAGAUAUACAGGCCGUGGCCGACUUCUGAUACAUAAUUUGGAAAUGAAACAUAGUGUCAAACAUGAGAUCCUUAUUUUUCAGGUGCUCCUCAGGGGAUGGAUCACACAGAUGAGACUUCUGCUGCUGAGGCAUCUGUGGCAGCCAGUGAGGAGGGCCGGAGGGCUGCAGCACUCACCCUGCGCAGACCUUGCACAAUCCUACACAUUACUGUUUGAAUCUAUGCCUAGAGCAACAGCGAUCUACUAGUAAAAAGCUCAGCAUUGCCAUGGAAGUCUCGGUGUAGUUUGGAUGUAAAUAGCCUGGAAUUGAGCUCCCUCAGAGUGAGCAGCAGUGGGAUCGGCAGAGGAUACAAGCGCAUGGCCAAACACUGUUGGUUCUCGUGUCAUGGACAGCGGAGCUGAGGGAGUUCAACUGAAGUGGUUGUGAAGACCUCAGUAGCUACAAUGAUACUGUUAAUUUUGAAUGAGGUGACUGAUAUUCCUUCUAGGAAAAAUAGACCUUUGGGAUCAGCAGAUGUUGUAGUACUGCACUGAGUUUGUUUGAAACUCCAGCUCAGGAGAUUCUUGACCCCAAGGGUCAAAGUGAAUGAAGAUCUUGUCCUACUACAGUUCCCUGUAGACAUGCAUCCACUACAGUCUAACUCAGCAGGACAGACCAAGGGUUGACAAAAAUGGACGGGAUUGGAUCUCCUGUCCUGAAAAUGUUGACAUGCACUACUUACAGCUGUUUCAGCUUUUAUUAAAAAUGAAGGUCUUUCUUGGUUUUCUGGCCUCAAUGAUGUACGCUGCUAUGAGCUGUGCAGGGCCUGGUCUCAGUUGGCACUGGGACAAUGCUCUGCUGAAGAGAGGCACAAAGGGAUUGUGCUUAGAAAGGAACACAUUUCUGCAGGACUGCCGGUAGGGCGUUUCUGCAACAAGAAAAGAAAACUCCUCUAUCAAGCUUUUCCUUAAAAUUACUCUAGAGGGAGUCAAAUCUAAAAGUUUAUUUAUCUUUAAAGUAUU